AGAGCAGAGCUUGGCACUCUAUGUAUCAGAGAAACUUUGAAAACCAGUUUCAUGACUGGCCAGGCUACAGUGUAACAGUUCUGUUUGUUUCUCCUUGAUGAAAACCGCCCCCUUGAUUGACUCUACUUUCCUAUAAGCCAACCAACCUCCCCGCUUCGAUCACCGCUUUCAGAGGAAAUAAAAUCAUUAUUGUUUC